ensembl:rRNA 5S_rRNA 5S ribosomal RNA
GUCUAUGGCCCUAUAACCCUGAACACACCUGAUCUCAGAAGCCAAGCAGGGUAGGGGCCUGGUUGGUACUUGCCUGGGAGAAACCUAUCACUUGUAAGCA